CCCCUCUGUUUUGGGGACCAGUAAGAGGUUCUGUCACUGCCUGCCCUGUAACGUUGGGAGCCUUUGUGCUGUGUAGCUAUGGUUCGAUUCCCUGACACCAGUAGCCUGUCCACAAUCAUAAAGUCUCACCCUGGCUCUCACCAGCCUAGUUACUCUUUGCAGGGUAACAUCAACAAUCCUU